rnacentral:rRNA from 1 species
UACGUAGGGGGGCAAGCGUUGUCCGGAAUCAUUGGGCGUAAAGAGCGUGUAGGCGGUCCGGUAAGUCGGUUGUGAAAGUCCAGGGCUCAACCCUGGGAUGCCGACCGAUACUGUCGGACUAGAGUUCGGAAGAGGCGAGUGGAAUUCCCGGUGUAGCGGUGAAAUGCGCAGAUAUCGGGAGGAACACCUAUGGCGAAGGCAGCUCGCUGGGACGUUACUGACGCUGAGACGCGAAAGCGUGGGGAGCAAACAGG